rnacentral:rRNA from 1 species
GACGAACGCUGGCGGCGUGCUUAACACAUGCAAGUCGAACGGAAAGGCCCUGCUUUUGUGGGGUGCUCGAGUGGCGAACGGGUGAGUAACACGUGAGUAACCUGUCCUUGACUUUGGGAUAACUUCAGGAAACUGGGGCUAAUACCGGAUAGGAGCUCCUGCUGCAUGGUGGGGGUUGGAAAGUUUCGGCGGUUGGGGAUGGACUCGCGGCUUAUCAGCUUGUUGGUGGGGUAGUGGCUUACCAAGGCUUUGACGGGUAGCCGGCCUGAGAGGGUGACCGGCCACAUUGGGACUGAGAUACGGCCCAGACUCCUACGGGAGGCAGCAGUGGGGAAUAUUGCACAAUGGGUGGAAGCCUGAUGCAGCAACGCCGCGUGCGGGAUGACGGCCUUCGGGUUGUAAACCGCUUUCGCCUGUGACGAAGCGUGAGUGACGGUAAUGGGUAAAGAAGCACCGGCUAACUACGUG